rfam:Schistosoma mansoni strain Puerto Rico chromosome 1, complete genome
AUCCAUCUGACAAAUCCCAAACGGGACGAAACGCGCGUCCUGAAU